rnacentral:lncRNA from 1 species
UGUUUUGUUGGAGCAGACAGGUGAAAGGAUGUUUUGCUAAGAUUCUCCAUCACAUGUCAGGGUAAAAUGCGGAUUGUGUACUGAAAACAGGAUGGGAAUAUUUCACCUUUCUUACACAAACCAGAGAACCUUGGAACUUCUAAAUCAGUAGGCAAACUAUGUUUGGACAACAAUACAACACAAUUGUAUAUGAUUAUCAAAUUCAAUAUUUACUCAAAGGAUAAAGGCCUGGUUAGGGACAAGUUUCAUGGCAAUAUGCUGAAGAUUAUAAAACAGUGUCAUAGAAUGAACCU